GUUUGUUACAUAGUGUUUGUGUCACGGGGGUUUGUUGUACCGAUUAUGUCAUCACGCAGGUAUUAAGCCUAGGACCCAUUAGUUAUUUUGCCUGAUACUUUCCCUUCUCUCACCCUCCACCCUCUGAAAGGCCCCCCGUGUGUUGUUCCCCCUGUGUGUCCAUGUG